GGUAGAUACCUAAGAAUUUUUCUCACUAUUUUCACAUUAGUAUAGAUUUUUUCAAGAGAUUUUAGACAAUUAUUAUGUCGGUGCUAGUAAAUAUUUAAGAGAUUGUUUCAUUUGUUUCCAUUGAAUAAAUGGCUUAAGGUGGAGCCACUAUACCCAAACUGACAAACACCCAAGAUCUAAGAUCCAAAUCACCUAAUUACUACCUUUGGAAUACAACCGCUUGAGCUAAUAUUAAGUUGUUCAUCUUCAAUUUACAGACAAAUGUUUUCUAAUUAUGAUUCUUUUGCAAUUUUCUUAGGAAAAAUCUUAAAGUUGAUAAAAUAAGUAGUUGUAAAUAAAUAAAUUUAUCAUUCAUUCUCAAUUCCCAAAAAAUCAUUGUAAGAAGUUGUCAAUCUUGUCUCUAAAGUAAUCUAAUUUGAUCCAAUGUCAAAAGACCAUCUAAAUGUAAUAUUAACGAAUUGACUCCAUUGGUGUGAAAUAUUUUUUCACGAGGAUGGGCAAUAUGAAUUUCCCUACUGCUACUUACAUUGCGGAUCCCAUUCGGGGUAAUGGGUAAUGAACAAAAGGAUUAGAUGUUGGAUAGUAUAUAAUUAUGACGCUUACACAAAAUAUGUAACAAACAGGAUAAGUAGAGCUAAACGAAUUAAGCUGAUGGAAAGAUUUUGUUUUAGUGGAUUUUUCUCAUAAGUACGGCUUAAGCUGAGCAAGAUUUAUUUUAGUGAAUAUUUUUCAUAAGUAUGGCUGCUAGUGAUAAGUGGGGUUAUAAACGAAUUUAUCUUAGUGAACCUUUUUCGUGUUCUAAAUUAAGGUUUUAUUGAUGGAAGAUUAAGAAGAAGAAAGUGGGUGUACUACGAGUCUUGGGAUGUACUCUAAGGUAAGAGUAAAUGGUGAUAUUUAAGCAUUCUGGCUCCGUUUGGUAAUGCUUAAAAGUCAAGUUUUUUUUAAGUUUGUUAUUAAAAAGGCUCAGAUUUUUUGAUUUUUUUGCUUUUGUGGCUUUAUUUUAGUUAAACUAAGCAAAAAAGCAAAAACAAAAAAUAAAAAGCCAACUUUGAUUGAUUUUUUUGCUUAUUUUAAACAAAAAAAUAAAAAAAAACUAAAAAAAAAUGAUGCCAAACAGAACUUUUAUAUUGAUGAUUCGAUAUUUUUCUGCCAAGUAGCUGGUGAAAUUAGAUUGUAGUUAAGCAACACACGCAUGUCUAAUCAACUGCACAUGCAUGUCUAGUUGGCUGAAAUGCAUCAAACUUCUAACAAAAGUUUAAGGAAAUUCAUUAAAAGUAAUAAGACACCAAAAUCAAGGCAAAACUAAGUUCAAAAGUUAAGUAACAGUUGUGAAACAUUACACAUACUAAGCAUAUAUUACAGGACCGUGCUAAUUGCAACCGACUCAUUUGUGAACGGUGGUUAAAGGUGUAUUGAUUAAAAAGAAAUUAAAACUUCAAUAAGUAUUUAUACAUUUUGAGUGCACUUACAAAAUUUAUGUACUUUUUCAUUUAUUUCUAUAUAUUUGACUUAUUUCCUCUUUGGGCCGAUGAUUAAUUAUUUUAGUUAUAUUAAAAAUCUAUUUUGGUCAUUAAUUAGUCGGUUUUCAAAGUCCAGAAUAAUUGUAACAAAUGAAUAUAAUGUUUUAAUUUUGUCAUAUUAGUUUCAUAUUAUCUAACUAUAACCUUACUAUUGCCCUGGUCUCUAACUGAACUAACCUAAGGCCCGUUUUGAUAAGUGGAUAGGAUGAUAGGAUUAUAACGAGGUGGGAUUAUCAUUGUAUUGAUAAUGAGUGGGAUUAGUAUGAGGGCAAUAGUCCGACCGGGGAGUGUGGUUUGCACGGAAUUAGACAUUGAGAUUAGUAAAUAUCAAGAGGUAAUGUUGUCAAUAGUCCUUCAAAAAUUCCUAGAUUUUUUCACGACAUUUUUAUAUUUACCCUUUAAUUACCAAAUAUACAUAAUAUUAAGGGGUAAUUUGUCAAUUGAGCCCAUAGAGUAAGUAGUAUUGUUAAUACCAUGUCCCCGUGGUAUUACAAUACCACCAUUUGGGGUAUUUCAUACCCACCGGACGAUAAUCCGGCCAUUUUAUGCUCAAUCAAACGCGAGAUUAGGAGCCCUACGGAUUACUAAUCCCAAUCCCCCCACCCUGAUUAUCAAACAUGGCCUAAAUGUUUAGAUGGAAGUUCCUCUUUUCCAAAACUUGUACCUUUCAAGAAAAAUCUCAAGCAGAGCUAAAGAAGUAGGACCUUUCUAAUUUUUUCAUGGUUGAAGGUAAUUUUAUAUUUUCUUGGUUUGUUUUUGUUUUCCUUCCGAAUAUAAUCUGUGUGUAGUUUAAUUAUAUUUUUUAUUUCCAUGGAGUGUUGCAUCUUAAAUCUCUUAUUAAUAAUAGGCUAAUAGCUUUCCUAAGUAUUAUCCCAAUAAAUGUAACUUAUGUGGAAUCGAUGUUUUUAAAGAUAAAAUUUCAUGUAGUAAGUCUCUUUAACAAAUUUGCUUUUUCACUUGCCAAAGCUUAAAGUAAUAAGCUUGGCUUCUAUUAUAGAAUUAGCAAUAGUAUUAUACUAUGGAGAUUCUCGAAUGAAGAAAAUGAUCCAAUGACUUAAAAAUAAUUGAAUAAGGAACUGUAUGAGGUGAAAAUAUCACAACAUAGAAGAGUAAUUUGACCCAAUGCUCUAUCUAUACCUUAAUUCCAAUCAACUCUACAUAUAACACCACUUUCUAAAGUAAAAUAUAACUAGUAUAGAGAGAAAUCUCAAGGCAAAGUACUCUAAUUGGUAUAACUAUAUCCUUAAAGUAUUCUAUGAUAUUUCUUUUGUAAAACAAGCAAUAACAUUUGGUACCAAAUUAAUAUCUUUUAUUCCCAUGACAAGUCAAUGAUAGUUAGUCGACUUAAACAUACUAAGUACUCAAAUUAUAGAUGUAACGUCACAUCUAGCAUAAUCCGUUGUAAAACAUACCUUUAAUCAUACCAGCAUGUUUAUUUUGAUUAGUUACAUCUCUAUCAUUUAUAACAACAAAUAUAUACAAGCAUAAAAAUGCAUAGCAACAUGCUUGCAAUCAAAGUAAUUAUAAUUUUUCAAAAAAUUUUCUAAAAACAAUGGGACUGGUUGAAAGAAAUAUUUCUUCAAUAGUUUUAUUGAUUUUGUCUCUUAUAUUAACAUUGGCAAGUUAGAGUCCAAAAAAUUAGCAAUUCAUUUCCAACAUAGAGGCUACUACAUCACCACUCGUGCUGACACAUUGAGUAAACUGUAUUCAUUUGAAUACCCUUAUUUUUUAAUAUAUGUAUAGGUUAUAUAAGGAUUGGAAUUAAUAUCCACUAUUUGUAUCCCCUAGCUGAUAUGCAUUGGAUACCCAGCCUAUUUAAUUUGCACACCCGCUAAUCCAAUGCCCACAACUCAACCGCUAUCCACAAUUAAGCCCACAACUAGAAAAAACAACCCUUAAUCAAAAUAACAACCACCCAAUUAAAAUAUUUAGAAUGCUAGGACAAACUAGACAAAAGAAGAAUUAAGGGGAAUAAAGCAACACAAUACCUUUCUCUCAUUCCCCCUCCCCUCCCCCCCAAAAAAAAAAGAAAAAAGAAAAAAUAAUAGAUAAACUGCAAAAACCUUGGACAAUCAGGUCAUCUCUCAUUUUCAUUUAAGUAAAAAAUCAUAAAAUGAUUUUUUUUUUCCUUUUGGAGGGACAGGUGGUCCCAAUUGUGACAACACUAGCUAGUCACUAAAAAGUAGAAACAAAAGUAAUUUUUUUUGUAUAGCGGAUGAUUGUGAUCUGAAUUGAAGGAUGGGAAAACCUUUUGUCCAUUUGAAAUAAAAAAUCAUUGCCAUGAUAUGAAAGUCGAGUCAUGGAGGCACCUUUUGUGCCAUUUUAACACAAAUAGUUUUUUGCAAAAGUCAAAUGGUUCUACGACAAAAUACAAGUAAAAUUCAUAUAGUUUCUACUCUAUAGCCAUCUUAAAAACCUACAAUCUCAUAAGGCAUCAUUGGUUUUAGAAAUUCUUCAUUUUGCACUCUUAUUGAAACUUCAAAUUAUGCUAUUUUUUCAUGUUAUUCGUAGUUGUAUCAAGUCUUCGCCAACCUAUUUUGUGAGUUUGGGCGAUGCUUCUGGUUUCCAAUUUCUAAACACCAUCAAUUAUCCAAAAUAUGUCGAAGAAUUGGGAAAACCUCUGCAAGACACAUCUGAAUUGGGUACAACACUAAGAGAUAUAUCGAUGCACAACUUGGGGAACAGAAAGCACAUAAAACUCCACCAAAGAAUGCGAAGAAUGGAAAAAGAUGUUGAGGAGAUUGAAAAAAAUACAAACGAUCAUUAAAGUAGAGUGUGGAAGAUGAGAAGAAAUGCCUCAGAGGAUUAAUUUCCCUGACAUUUUGGCACGUAUGAAGCUUGGUGGACGAGUGAUAAAAUGAUUUUUGAGGUUGAAGAACUAUUAAGAAUCUAAAUUUAAAAUGGCUUUCCUCACUGAUUCAUUUCACCACCACUUAAAAUUGAGAAGAAGGUAGUUCCAGAUUCACUGACAAGCUUCAGCCUCUCACAUGUUAAGAAGGUACUACAAAUAAAAAAAAUUCCACGACGAGACCACUCCAAAGUUGGGGAUUUUGGGAAUGGGAGGAAUAGUAAGACAACUGUUAUGCAAACUCUUGAAUAAUCAACCAGAAAUCACAACAAUGUUUGAUUUGUCAUAUGGGUGACCGUCCACUCAAUCUUGGAACAUUGGACAAAUCCACGAGGAAUUUGGGAAGCGUUUUCAUAUAACAACUAACGAGUCACUGAGAGAGAUUGCAAGUAAAUGUUGCCGAAACUUGAGGGGAAGAAGGACUUUGUUGCUUUUAGAUUGAUGUUUGGGGAAGUUGGUUUAAGUGUUUAAGUGUUCCCAAAUGCCCAUCAAGAAAAUGGUUGCAAAGUUGUUUUGACAACCAGAAAAUUAAAGUUUGUCGCAAUAAUUGAAACUGAUGAUGAGAUCAAGAUGGAGGUUUUGCCUGAAAAAGAAAGCAUGGGAGAUGUUCAGUUAAAGUGGGCAAUGUUGCAAGGUCUCCACCUCAGACAAUAUGUCUAAAGAAAUAGUCAGAAAGUGUGGGGGCUUGCACUUGCAACUAAGGUUGUGGGUGGCGCUUUAAGAAAAGAAAAAUAAUGAGAAUAUUUGGGCAGUUCCUUAAAAACUUAAGAGUCACCUGCAAAAGGCUUUGAUUGAAGAUAUUAAUGUAUAGUGUUCAGCUCCUUAAAAAAGUUAGCUAUGACUACUUAACAAACAUUGAACAAAAGAAAUUGUCUUUUCUUUUGUGGAUUGUACCCAGAAGAUCAAAAGUUAAGAAUCUAAAUGUGAUAAGGUUAACGGAGAGCGAAGGGCUUCUUUCAGGUAAACUACUUUGGCACGCACGUGUUAAGGGCGAAUGUAAUAAUCUUGGAAGCCCUUAUAGAUGCGUCUUUGUUGGAAAAAGUGCGAUGAGAUGAUGACAAUGACUAUGUGAAGAUGCAUGAUAUGGUUCGAGACUGGAGUAGUGGCCUGACUUCCCCAAAAGGAGAGUGGGUGCUUACCUGGUGAGCGUUGGAAACUUCUACGGAGAGAUGCUAGAGGAUGAGGAAUGGGGAAAAGGCAAUAAGAAUUUCGUUUAGGAUAACCACUACUUGAGCAAUUGUCAGAAUCUCUGACUAUCCCCUGCUUCUGACAUUACUGAUUCGAGGUUGUUCAACCUAAAGGUGAUUCCGGAAUCUUUCUUCGACAAACAUUGACCAGACUCCAUGUCUCGGAUUUAUCUACCACUGUAUCAUUCCUUUUGCCGGUUUCGAUAUCUAAAUUGGUUACUCUUCGUGAGUUACUUCUGCGAUGCUCCUUAUUGAAUUUUUUCUCCCUGUGGAGCUAAGGCGAACUCAAGGCACUUGAGGUGCUUGGAAAUCACAGGAGCUCACGUGGGCUCAUCUACACUUUGGAUUUUGAAAUAAAUGACCACUCUUAAAAGAUUGAAGAUUGCCACUAUGAGAAGGUCGGGUGACAAUUUUGUUGAAAGUGAGGCAAGUUCUAGUUUCUGGGUUGAUAAGCAAGAAUCUCAGAUGGAAGAAGAAUUUGUGUUCCAAACUUUUUGUAUGACUUUGGGGUAAGUGAUGAAAGUGAGAUAUUGUCGCAAGGGAGCUGAGCCGCUUUAGUUCACUUUCUGUCAUUGAUAUUUAAGUUUCUGAGUGUAAGUAAUCUCCAUACUUCCUUCAAACAGUAGAUCAUGGAGAAACAGAGAGAAAAUUAACAGAAUUCGGGUUCCAUAUUGACCCAAGAGAGAUCAGUUGGGUUUCGCGAAGGUACAAGAAAUGUCUCACUAUAAGGCAGCGCGAGGAAGAAAAAUCAUCGCAUCGCUGCGGCAAUCGAGGAUUGUACUCAGUCGUUGAAUUAGUUUUGGAUAGGUGUGCCAGGGAGAACUUAGACUCUGUGAUUGCGGCGCAAGAACACUUGUGAGUUAAAAUGCUGCCGUGUCUAUUCUUGCGACAUGCUUGAAAAAUGUGUGACGGAAACGGGUUUAGAAAGGAGGCUUUUCGGAAUUUAGAAAUUUUAGAAUGGAUAAUCUGAGGAAUUUAAAGGCAUUCUUGAGAUGAAGGACCACCACCACCACUGUCAUGGGUCGUAACAGCUUUAACAGGUUGCGGAAUUGAGGUUAUGCAGCUGACCAAUGAUGAAGCAUGUCUCUCAAAUGGAUUCACGAUAGCAAAACUAUCGCAACUUGCAAUUUUGGACAUCCGACUGUUCUGGAUGGAGAGGGGAUGCUUUAGAGGAUGAGAAUGUGAAUAUGGAGGCUCUACAAAUUGAAGGAGGUGUUAUGUGGUGUAGGUAUUUACAUAAAUUUGUUAGCUUUUCAAAUGGAUUGCCAGGGGUUGGAAAUCACUGGAGUGAGGCGGCGUGGACAUGUCUUGUCCGAAAACUGAGAAAACUCCCUUUGGAUGUCAACAGCGCAACCCAAUUAAGAAGAUCUAGAGGUAGCAGAAAUUGGAUGGGAUGCAAAUAGAGUGGGGGACACACAGUGCCACAAAAUAAAGAUUUCAACCUCUUCGAUUAGGAUUUGUGUAGAAAAUUUACCAUAGAAUAUAUUAUUGAAUAUCUCCCUAAUUGAUACUCAGAAUAUAUUCUGAUACAAAAUAUAUUCUGAUUGAUACGUUACUUUAUUUACAAUAUUAUUGUUUCCUUAUGUAAACUCAAUAAAAUAUACAGAAAUUCUUCAUCUCUCUUUCUCUUUCUACAAUUUCUUCUAACAAUUAUUAACAUAUGAGAUCUUUUUCCCACCCACUAAUGGUGAUACUCCCAAAGCCCUGCAUGUAAAUUACUUUUAUGAGAAAAGGAAAAAAACUAUUUAGGAUGAAGGACAAUUUGUGAUCAGUAGUAGACUAAUCCGGAUUGUAAACUAUAUAUGUCUGUUAUGUGUUGUGUACUUUAAUAUUAAAAUGUUUUAUUUUAUUAUAUUCUAUUAUGUCCAAAUACAUAUAUUUACAUGCUGAAAUAGUGGGAGGAUAUGUAAAGACAAAAAAUGCCUCUUGAUUUGUUACAGUUGUU
rnacentral:lncRNA from 1 species